UAGAAGGCUCGUUAUAGGAUGCUCCAUUUUUUAGCCUCAGGGGGCUCACACCUCUAGAAGAAGAAGAAGAGGUUGGCACUGCAUUAUAAACCUUGUUCGGUGAAGCAGGACGAAUAAAAGAUGAUGUGCCGUCCAAUGGUGAUUUUCUCGGCACGACAAGUUUGGGAGAGGAAACGACGAUCGUUGUCGGUUUGGCUUUGUUGACGGUGAUCCAGAACAACUCCCCCUGAAAAGACACGGAUAGGCUUCUUGUUAUCGCGGAAGUUGGAAGCAUUUUGCCAGACGACGACGUUGUCGUGCGGGUGGUGCCACCAGUGCCGGGUCAUCUUCGCUCCACCGACUGUGAUCGUUUGGGUGUGAAUGGCAACAACGACCGAGGAUACGAAGAGAAGGACGAUGAGGUGUAACGAGGCACAAGGUUUUUGGGAGUGGAGAUUGCAGCUUCUACCAUUGUGGUCCUGAUAGUGUCAUGAAGCGUUGAGCGAGGAGUUUCUGAAUUGGGCUAUGGGAAAAGGAAGAAGAAAAUUAGUGAAUUGAAAAUGAAGAAAAUGCUAAAUGUGAAGGAUGUUCUGACCGUUACGGUGGAAUGCGGAAACCCAGGUUUUUGAGUGUAAUUGUGGCAUUAUAAGUAAGGUUUAAACCCUCAUUUGGUUUUGUGUGUCAAUCUCAAGUGGGUCAUCUUUUUUUUUCGGUCUCAAUCAGGUCCAAAAACUUGUAAAAAUGAGUCAAUUAAACCCUUUCCGUUAAGUUUUGACUGACCGCGUUAAAAUUUGCUUACGUCUUAUAUUACGUGGAAUUUAUUAUUUAAUUUAUU
rnacentral:lncRNA from 1 species